AUGGUCGCUGUUUCCCACGGCUCUGAGGAAGUGCACCCAGGCACCGCCUAUAAACUUCCGUUGCUGCCCUAGCCUCUCUCUUUCCGAGCUGCUAGCGCUCCUGCGAACAUGGUGAACGUGCCUAAGACCCGCCGGACAUUCUGCAAAAAAUGUGGGAAGCACCAACCCCACAAGGUGACACAGUACAAGAAGGGCAAGGAUUCUUUGUAUGCCCAGGGAAAGCGGCGUUAUGACAGGAAACAGAGUGGCUAUGGUGGGCAGACUAAGCCUAUUUUCCGCAAAAAGGCUAAAACUACAAAGAAGAUUGUGCUGAGACUGGAGUGUGUUGAGCCCAACUGCAGAUCUAAGAGGAUGCUGGCUAUUAAGAGAUGCAAGCAUUUUGAAUUGGGAGGCGACAAGAAGAGAAAGGGCCAAGUGAUCCAGUUCUAAGCAGAUUGUGUUAUGAAGACAAUAAAAUCUUGACCUUUCAAUCCCUUUGAUUGCAGUUGUUCUUUUGGGAGGGGAUAAGUUAACCCAAACGCUUUCAGAAAUUAA